GGGGAACUGAAACAUCUAAGUACCCCGAGGAAAAGAAAUCAACCGAGAUUCCCCCAGUAGCGGCGAGCGAACGGGGAGGAGCCCAGAGCCUGAAUCAGUGUGUGUGUUAGUGGAAGCGUCUGGAAAGGCGCGCGAUACAGGGUGACAGCCCCGUACACAAAAAUGCACACAUUGUGAGCUCGAUGAGUAGGGCGGGACACGUGGUAUCCUGUCUGAAUAUGGGGGGACCAUCCUCCAAGGCUAAAUACUCCUGACUGACCGAUAGUGAACCAGUACCGUGAGGGAAAGGCGAAAAGAACCCCGGCGAGGGGAGUGAAAAAGAACCUGAAACCGUGUACGUACA
rnacentral:rRNA from 1 species